AGCGAACGCUGGCGGCAGGCCUAACACAUGCAAGUCGAACGAACUCUUCGGAGUUAGUGGCGGACGGGUGAGUAACACGUGGGAACGUGCCUUUUGGUUCGGAAUAACUCAGGGAAACUUGUGCUAAUACCGAAUGUGCCCUUCGGGGGAAAGAUUUAUCGCCAUUAGAGCGGCCCGCGUCUGAUUAGCUAGUUGGUGAGGUAACGGCUCACCAAGGCGACGAUCAGUAGCUGGUCUGAGAGGAUGACCAGCCACACUGGGACUGAGACACGGCCCAGACUCCUACGGGAGGCAGCAGUGGGGAAUCUUGCGCAAGGGGCGAAAGCCUGACGCAGCCAUGCCGCGUGAAUGAUGAAGGUCUUAGGAUUGUAAAAUUCUUUCACCGGGGACGAUAAUGACGGUACCCGGAGAAGUAGCCCCGGCUAACUUCGUG
rnacentral:rRNA from 1 species